GAUGAACGCUAGCUACAGGCUUAACACAUGCAAGUCGAGGGGAAACGGCAUCGAAAGCUUGCUUUUGAUGGGCGUCGACCGGCGCACGGGUGAGUAACGCGUAUCCAACCUGCCCAUCACUUGGGAAUAACCUUGCGAAAGUAAGACUAAUACCCAAUGAUAUCCCACGAAGGCAUCGGAAUGGGAUUAAAGAUUUAUCGGUGAUGGAUGGGGAUGCGUCUGAUUAGCUUGUUGGCGGGGUAACGGCCCACCAAGGCAACGAUCAGUAGGGGUUCUGAGAGGAAGGUCCCCCACAUUGGAACUGAGACACGGUCCAAACUCCUACGGGAGGCAGCAGUGAGGAAUAUUGGUCAAUGGGCGAGAGCCUGAACCAGCCAAGUAGCGUGCAGGAAGACGGCCCUAUGGGUUGUAAACUGCUUUUAGAAGGGAAUAAAGUGGGUCACGUGUGACUUUUUGCAUGUACCUUAUGAAUAAGGACCGGCUAAUUCUGUG
rnacentral:rRNA from 1 species